rnacentral:rRNA from 1 species
UACGGAGGGGACUAGCGUUGUUCGGAAUUACUGGGCGUAAAGCGCACGUAGGCGGAUUUGUAAGUCAGGGGUGAAAUCCCGGGGCUCAACCUCGGAACUGCCUUUGAUACUGCAAAUCUCGAGUCCGGAAGAGGUGAGUGGAAUUCCCUAGUGUAGGAGGUGAAAUUCGUAGAUAUUAGGAAGAACACCAGUGGCGAAGGCGGCUCACUGGUCCGGUUCUGACGCUGAGGUGCGAAAGCGUGGGAGCAACAGG